rnacentral:rRNA from 1 species
AGGACUUGACAUGGGUAGGACCGGUGGAGAGAUUCACUUUUCCCGCAAGGGACCUACUGCAC